rnacentral:rRNA from 1 species
UACGUAGGCAGCGAGCGUUGUUCGGAGUUACUGGGCGUAAAGGGUGUGUAGGCGGUUGUUUAAGUUUGGUGUGAAAUCUCCCGGCUCAACUGGGAGGGUGCGCCGAAUACUGAAUGACUUCGAGUGCGGGAGAGGUGAGUGGAAUUCCUGGUGUAGCGGUGAAACGCGUAGAUAUCAGGAGGAACACCGGUGGUGUAGACGGCUCACUGGACCGUAACUGACGCUGAGACACGAAAGCAUGGGGAGCAAACAGG